UUGGUCAAUAAGUGUUGUUGUGUCCUUUUUUUAAGGUUUUCUACAAACAUUUCUAAAGCCCAACAGCUGAGGGACAGGCUGAAACAACUGCUGACAGCUGCUGAAGAAGAAAUACUUCACAUG